rnacentral:rRNA from 1 species
GGAGCGACGCCGCGUGGAGGAUAAGGUCUUCGGAUUGUAAACUCCUGUCAUGCGCGAACAAGGUUGCCAGGUUAAUACCUUGGCAAAUUGAUGGUACCGCAAGAGGAAGAGACGGCUAACUCUGUGCCAGCAGCCGCGGUAAUACAGAGGUCUCAAGCGUUGUUCGGAAUCACUGGGCGUAAAGGGUGCGUAGGUGGCGUGGUAAGUCAGAUGUGAAAGCCCGGGGCUCAACCUCGGAACUGCAUCCGAUACUGCCAUGCUUGAGUACUGAAGAGGUGACUAGAAUUCUCGGUGUAGCAGUGAAAUGCGUAGAUAUCGAGAGGAAUACCAAAGGCGAAGGCAGGUCACUGGGCAGUUACUGACACUGAGGCACGAAGGCCAGGGGAGCAAACGGGAUUAGAUACCCCGGUAGUCCUGGCAGUAAACGGUGCACAUUUGGUGUGGGGGGAUUCGACCCCUUCCGCGCCGGAGCUAACGCGUUAAAUGUGCCGCCUGGGAAGUACGGUCGCAAGAUUAAAACUCAAAGAAAUUGACGGGGACCCGCACAAGCGGUGGAGUAUGUGGCUUAAUUCGAUGCAACGCGAAGAACCUUACCUGGUCUUGACAUGCAUUCUGUCGUCUGUGAAAGCAGGCUAGGGUAGCAAUACCCGGUUUGCACAGGUGCUGCAUGGCUGUCGUCAGCUCGUGUCGUGAGAUGUUGGGUUAAGUCCCGCAACGAGCGCAACCCC